CGUAGGGUGCGAGCGUUAAUCGGAAUUACUGGGCGUAAAGCGUGCGCAGGCGGCGCCGCAAGUCAGGCGUGAAAUCCCCGAGCUUAACUUGGGAAUGGCGCUUGAAACUACGGUGCUGGAGUGUGGCAGAGGGAGGUGGAAUUCCACGUGUAGCGGUGAAAUGCGUAGAGAUGUGGAGGAACACCGAUGGCGAAGGCAGCCUCCUGGGCCAACACUGACGCUCAUGCACGAAAGCGUGGGGAGCAAACAGGAUUAGAUACCCUGGUAGUCCACGCCCUAAACGAUGAUGACUAGUUGUUGGGGGAGUUAAAUCCCUUAGUAACGCAGCUAACGCGUGAAGUCAUCCGCCUGGGGAGUACGGUCGCAAGAUUAA
rnacentral:rRNA from 1 species